UUGAAGUUUCUAUACCAAGGGAGC
rnacentral:siRNA from 1 species